GUGUGGGCAGUGCCCUGGCUCGGAGGCGGGCAGGGUUGGACACUAAGGGCGCGGGCAGGGAGCAGGGACGAAGCAGGAGGGAGGACAGCCGUGAGGGAGAACCGGGACAGCCGUGAGGGAGAGCCGGGACAGCUGUGAGGGAGAGCCGGGACAGCCGUGAGGGAGAGCCGGGACAGCCGUGAGGGAGAGCCGGGACAGCCGUGAGGGAGAGCUGGGAAAGCCGUGAGGGAGAGCCGGGAAAGCCGUGAGGGAGAGCUGGGACAAACAGCCGUGAGGGAGAGCCGGGACAGCCGUGAGGGAGAGCUGGGACAAACAGCCGUGAGGGAGAGCCGGGACAGCCGUGAGGGAGAGCUGGGACAGCCGUGAGGGAGAGCCGGGACAGCCGUGAGGGAGAGCCGGGACAGCCGUGAGGGAGAGCUGGGACAGCCGUGAGGGAAAGCUGGGACAAACAGCCGUGAGGGAGAGCCGGGACAGACAGCCGUGAGGGAGAGCCGGGACAGACAGCCGUGAGGGAGAGCCGGGACAGCCGUGAGGGAAAGCUGGGACAGACAGCCGUGAGGGAGAGCCGGGACAGCCGUGAGGGAGAGCCGGGACAGCCGUGAGGGAGAGCUGGGACAGCCGUGAGGGAGAGCCGGGACAAACAGCCGUGAGGGAGAGCCGGGACAGCCGUGAGGAAAAGUCGGGAGAGCCGUGAAGGGUAGAAGAGCCCGAAGGCAGGCCGGACAAAACACGGGCUGGGGCCAGGAUUAAAAGGAGCUGUGAAGGUUCCAGCAGCAGCUGUUGGGAUGUUCUGCAUCCUGACAGGAAAUCCAGGCUGACACUUGGAGCAGGAGAAUCCCAGGAGAGAUGUCCUCAGUGCCCUCCUUUAGCUCCUCAGGGAUGUGUUAACCCUCUGGGGAUUCCUCCCAGGAAGAGCCACAAGGCAAAAAAUUCCUUCAAGGCUUAAAGAAAAAAACAGCUCCCUGACAGACAACUGCUGGAUAAUUGAAGGGGAAAGGAUUUAAAGGAGGAUCCUGAUUUAACACCCAACUUCCAUCCCAGUGAAAUCACAACCCCGGGAAGAAAAUUCAUCUGAAAAUUAAAGGUCCAUCCAGCCUUUAUGGAACAGGAAAACAUCUGGAUCAUGCAAUUAUAAAUUACUUCAUAUAUGGAAAUAUUUAUAUUAGGAUACAGCUACGUUUACCAUUUACAUCAAGGUGAAUUCCCAAAACCUCAGGUAAUUUCUGUGUUUAAGUGAAAUUCCACAGGAAUUCAAUUGAUCUCCAGCACUGAUUUAACCAAGGAAAUAAAUUAUUGGGACACCUUUCCCAUCCCUGGGAGUGUCCAAGGCCAGCCUGGACAGGGCUUGGAGCACCCUGGGAGAGUGGAAGGUGUCCCUGCCCAUGGCAUGGGGUGGGAUGGGAUUUAAGGUCCCUCCCCACCCAAAUCUUCCUGGAAUUCUAGGAAAACACAGGAGGAGCAAAAAAGCCAAGGCAUUGGGAGUUCACUUUUACACAUCCAAGUUUCUGACAUGGAUCAAUCCAGAAUGUCCAGCCCUGCAGCCAAACCAGUGCUGGAGUUACAAACACAGCUCAUUCCCACUGGUUUGGCUGCUCCAUGACUGGAGAAGACACUAAAAUAAACUGUUGAAAGGAAAACACUCCAUCAACCUAGCUCAUGCUCAAGUUCAUGUUCAGCCCUAAUUAAGUGGGAAAACCCCAACAUCAGGUUAUGCUAAAAAUUACUUUUAAUUCAACUUUUAAAAAAAAUUGAUUUAAUUAAAAUUUAUACUUGCACAUUAAAAAAUAUCCCUCUUGGAAGUGCCCCAGUUUGGGAGUAAACCCAGAUUUACCUGAAUUAAACCUGGCCCAACCUUAUUUGUUCUGUCACACUCUAAGCAAGACUCUUCUCCAACCUUCCCUCUCUUUAUGCUCCUACUGCUGCAGUAAAACAUUUACUGAGGCUCAUGUAUCCCAAAAGAAAUUCCAUGAGUUUUUAGGACCUUUUCCACCAUUGGCAUCAACCCUUCCAGCAGACAAAGUUCCACUGUGUGGCAAAGGCUGGGAACAAAGGACAGUGGUGCUGUAAAAAGCCAAAUAAAGCCCUUCAGUGCUGCUGGAAAAUGCAUCCAUUGACAGCCAGGAGCUCUGCAAUUCCUUUUUCAUGGAGAGAGGAGUCAGUGACAGCCUCUCAUUUCUUUGCCAUGAUUAUCUCAUGGUGGGCACAGCCUUUAAUAAAUGAAAUAAUUCUCUUCUUGUGUCAAAGAGCAGGGUUUAAAAUGAAAGCAUGGAGAAGAUAAAUCCCCAAAACAAGGACAGCUGAAAGGACAUUGCCACGGAAGGUCUGAGUUUAUGCUCUGAGGGAAAUUGAGUGGGAACAUUUGGAAUUAAAAUAUCUCCCCGCUGGAAAAAAAAAUGAGAAUAUUCUUAAUUUUCUGGAUCAUUAAACUCCUCCUGGAAAAAGAGUUAAGGAACUCUGGGAUAUUUUUACAGCAUCAAGGGUUUGGGGAUUUCUGAUGAUGUGAGAGUCAGGCUCAGAUUUGCAGGGAAUCAGUGCCCUCCCAAAGAUUUCUCCAUGAGGGAGCAAGAAUCCUUAGGGAAAGAUCACAAUCCAGGCACAAAGUUGUCCAAUUCCCUUUCUUUUGGGACAAGGAGCAGCAGAGGAUCUGUUCCAUCCAAAGGGAAUAAAGGAGUUCCUGCAAAUGGAUUUAACAAAGAAGUGUAUCAAGGUUAAAGGCAUGGAAUGGGAAAUGGGAUAUGGAAAAGGCAGACUGGGAUUUGUGGUUGCAA